UGGGAGGAUUGACAUAUUGAGAGCUCUUUCUCGAUUCGGUGGAUACGAUCAUCCAGGUAUGACCGUCCUCAAGACCCCACAGUGACCGAAAGGGAACCGGGAUAAAAAUACAGAACCCGGACACCGAGAUUGGUCCUCCGGGGCUCAGUGCGGUAACGCAAACCAGCUCCGAGACGCUGAUGCGAUCCCCGGGAAGAGGUUUCUUUUCUCUGUAAGGAGAUCGAGUCCCUGGAAUGGGUUCGCCUCAAGAUAGGGAUGGUGGCUCCGUAGAGCAGUGCGGCUCUUGCGCUGUCCGGUGCGCUCGCGUCGGCCCUUGAAAAUCCGAGUAAGGGAGUGUGAUUUUCGUGCCUUACCGUACCCACAUCCGCAGCAGGUCUCCAGGGUGAACAGCGUCU
rnacentral:rRNA from 1 species